ACUACAUCAGCAAUGAAGAUAUUUUGGUUUUUUCUGACCUUUGUCUUCGCUGUGUCUUGUGGUCCAGCAGUUCCACAGCAAAAAACAAGAGAAGUUGCAGAGAAAAAAAGAGAAUGUCGCCUUGUUCGUGGUGCUUGCAAGCUUGAAUGCAAUUCCUGGGAAUACAUAUAUAAUUACUGCAAUAUUGACUCUGAACCUUGCUGUGUGGUAAGGGAAUACCAAAAGCCAGUCAUAAAAAACUCAAUUAUCGGACCUAAAACAGAUGUAAAUUACAAUUAUGUUACAUAGCACUACUUUGUAGCAAUAUUAUUAAUAAAAAUUAACUUUUACUUUCUAUCAAUCUA